CGCAGAGCAGCCCAGCCUCCUGCCUCCGUGUGCCCUGAGGCCUAUCCUGCCAGAAAGCUGAGACGUCUGGGAGGCAGGUCUGGCCAGCUGCGAUGCUGUGUGCUACUCACUAGCUGCGGCUGCUCCUGGAACACACGGCGGGGAGUGUCCAGGAGCCAUGCCACACGCGGGCCCACACCUCACAAACCUGGUGGCCACAGAUUUGUCUCAGGUCACGAGUCAGGGAGAUCACGGCACAGCGCUGGGCGGAUCAAGGCCAGAGACGCCCAAAGACUCGCGCUUUUCUUUCAUUAGCGCUAAAGCCUCUGACUUUUUGAUUCCUGUUUCCUUUGAGGGGUUUCAGGUUAACCUGUCCUCAUGGUGGAAAAGUGGGACUUGGGUUUCUAUUUCAGUUCUGAGUCCCAGUGGUUGGAGGGAUGGAAGAUACUGGAGCCUCAGGACACACAAAAGGAAACCAGAGCUGGAGGAACGGGCCCCCACCUGCUGGCCAGGAAAAAGGGGUGCAGAAAAAUAAGUUUUUUUGUUAUCAGAAAGAAAGGAUCAUAAAAUGUCAGCAGGUCUCAUGGCCAGAAGUUGAUGUGAAAUCCCUAAGA